rnacentral:tRNA from 1 species
UAGCCAAUAGUUCAAUGGUAGAACAUGCUGCUCAUAACGGUUUAGUUGUAGGUUCGAUUCCUACUUGGCUUA